AUUGAAAGCAGGCGGCAGGCGUAAAACAUGCAAGUCGAGCGAGCGGCGGACGGGUGAGUAAUGUCUGGGAAACUGCCUGAUGGAGGGGGAAAACAACUGGAAACGGUAGCUAAUACCGCAGACAAUAAGACGGACCCGAAUGGGAUUAGCUAGUAGGUGGGGUAAUGGCGAACCUAGGCGACGAUCCCUAGCUGGUCUGAGAGGAUGACCAUCCACACUGGAACUGAGACACGGUCCAGACUCCUACGGGAGGCAGCAGUGGGGAAUAUUGCACAAGGGGCGCAAGCCUGAUGCAGCCAUGCCGCGUGUGUGAAGAAGGCCUUCGGGUUGUAAAGCACUUUCAGCGGGGAGGCGUUACUCGCAGAAGAAGCACCGGCUAACUCCGUGCCAGCAGCCGCGGUAAUUC
rnacentral:rRNA from 1 species